CAGCCGUAAACAAUGUGCGUUAGGUGUGUCGGUAACCACGUGUUACUGAUGCGCCGAAGAGAAAUCGUGAAACGCACCACCUGGGAAGUACGGUCGCAAGGCUGAAACUUAAAGGAAUUGGCGGGGGAGCACCACAACAGGUGGAGCCUGCGGUUUAAUUGGAUUCAACGCCGGACAUCUCACCGGAUAAGACAGCGGAAUGAUUGCCGGGCUGAAGACCCUGCAUGACCAGCUGAGAGGAGGUGCAUGGCGUAGUCGUGU
rnacentral:rRNA from 1 species